rnacentral:lncRNA from 1 species
UUUUUUUUUUUUUUUGCUAUGUGAUUGCAUUUAUCUUUUGAAUGCUUGACAGGGUUAAAUGUAUUUAUUAACUUUGUGCCUCUGAGUCUGUUCUCGAGUGCCCUAACACAGCUAUCUGGGAUGAUUGAUGUAUGCAAACAAAAUGCAUAUGGCUCUUUCCACACAGUAAUAGUGAGUGUGAAAUCUGCUUACAUCACUAUUGAGCACUGGUUUGUUAACUACCCGGAGUAAAUAAAGAAGCUUGAAAAAGAGGGAAAAGUGUUUUUACAAAACUGAUUUCCUUUCCUUUCUUGCUAUCUCAAAUGACUGGUUGGUUAGAUUUUUUUUUCUUUGUGAUUUAUAUUCUCAUGGCUGGAGAAGCUGGGCCAAGAUGGGCACAGCCUAGCAGCACUGGCCUGGGAGCCAGUAUCACAUUUUGGAACCAACCUGACAUAACUUCCAUGCCACAGUCUACCUUCAAAGUAGGAGCAGGCCAGGGCUCUCGGGGCACACUGUUGCAGUGUUCAGCCCAGGCACCAUGCGUUUUUACAGUUGUGUUUGCUCUUACUGUUGUGAGAAAGGUAGGUGAUGAUCUAUCUAUCCACAUGUAAGAUUUUUUAAAAUAUGUACUCUUAAUAAGUUUUCUUCAAAACAUUAAAGUACCGCAAUGAGCUUACUUGCCAUUUUAUUAUUGUUAUUUUUUGACUGUGGCAUCUGUCUGUAAUCUAGAGUGACAAGAUGUUCCCUCUCCCUCACCUGCAUCUCUGCAUCUUUUCUGUCCAUAGUCUGACUUAUGUUGAUAUUAGAGCCUGAAUGCUACUGUAUUUUACUGAUAUAAGCUAUUUGUAUUCUUACAUUUUAAUAAAAAAAGCAAGCCCUGUCAUUAAUAG